rnacentral:rRNA from 1 species
UCCCGUUGAUCCUGCGGGAGAUGGCCGCUAUGAGUAUCCGAUUAAGCCAUGCAAGUCAACUCGCAAGAGUGGCAGACUGCUCAGUAACACGUCGGUAACGUGCCCUGUGGUCGGGGAUAACCUCGGGAAACUGAGGGUAAACCCCGAUAGGCAAUACAACCUGGAAUGGUGUAUUGUUCAAACUUGAGCCACAGGAUCGGCCGGCGGCUGAUUAGGCUGUUGGUGGGGUGAUGGCCCACCAAACCGAAGAUCAGUACGGGCCAUGAGAGUGGUAGCCCGGAGAGGGACACUGAGAUACUGGUCCCAGCCCUACGGGGUGCAGCAGGCGCGAAACCUCUACAAUGCGCGAAAGCGUGAUAGGGGGAUACUCAGUGCUUACGCUUAUGGUGUAGGCUUUUGCUAUGUGUAAAGAGCACGGCGAAUAAGUGGUGGGAAAGACCGGUGCCAGCCGCCGCGGUAACACCGGCGCCACAAGUGGUCAUCACGAUUAUUGGGCCUAAAGCGUUCGUAGCCUGUUUGGUAAAUCUCUUGUGAAAUUGUUCGGCUCAACCGAACAGCAUGCAGGAGACACUACCAGACUCGAGACCGGGAGGGGUCAGAGGUAUUCCAUGGGGACCGGUAAAAUGGGAUAAUCCAUGGAGGACCACCGAUGGCGAAGGCAUCUGACCAGAACGGAUCUGACGGUGAGGAACGAAAGCCAGGGGAGCGAACCGGAUUAGAUACCCGAGUAGUCCUGGCCGUAAACGCUGUGAGCUAGGUGUUGCAUAUCCUACGAGGAUGUGCAGUGUCGAAACGAAGGUAAUAAGCUCACCGCCUGGGAAGUACGGUCGCAAGACUGAAACUUUAAGGAAUUGGCGGGGGCGCACUACAAGGGGUGCGGCGUGCGGUUUAAUCUAACUCAACGCAGAGAACCUUACUAGUGGCGACGGCAAAAUGAAGGCCGUGCUAAAGACACUGCCAGAUGAGCCGAGAGGUAGUGCAUGGCCGCCGUCAGCUCGUGCCGUGAGGUGUCCAGUUAAGUCUGGUAACGAGCAAGACCUGUAUCCACAAUUGCUAACGACCUUUGGGAUCGAGCACUUUGUGGAGACUGCCUUGGUAACAAGGAGGAAGGUGCAGGCUACGGUAGGUCUGUAUGCUCCGAAUCCACUAGGCUACACGCGCGCAACAAUGGUACAGACAAUGGGAUGCUACCCCGAAAGGGGACGCUAAUCCUCCAAACUCUAUCUUAGUCCAGAUUGAGGCUUGCAACUCAGCCUCAUGACGUCGGAAUCCCUAGUAAUCAGCUGUCAUCAUCUGCUGGUGAAUAUGUCCCUGCGCCUUGCACACACCGCCCGUCAAACCAACCGAGCAGGGUCUGGGUAAAACACGCUUUCUUGAGCUUGUUGAAUCUAGUCUCAGUGAGGUGGGUUAAGUCGUCACAAGGUA